CUGAGCUGGGUCUGUUAAGGCUGACCUGCGGCAGUUGAGGCUGACCUGAGGUGGUUGAGGCUGACCUGAGAUGGUUGAGGCUGGGCUGAGGGGAGUUAAGGAUGAGCUGGGUCAGUUGAGGAAGUUGAGAAAAGGCAAAGGCAGAAAAGGAUGCUCUGAGGUGGAACUGAGGAAUCUGAGGCCUUAAAAUUUGUCUUCCCAGUCAGUGUGUGUGGCCUCCAGACCCUCCAGCAGGUGCCUCACCCCCCUGCCACCUCCUCACAGUUCCCUGGGUGGGAGACCCCCAAGGGAGACAAUCUUCAGCAGACAAUCCAUGGGAAGCUCUCCAUGGUGAGUAGCACUUUCUUCCAGAAAAGCCACUCCAAAGUGUCACACUACACCUGGUGCCACCAGGAAUCUGUCUGUGUGGCACAGGCAGUCAUCCUGGGAGUCCUGGGAAAGCAGCUCUACGCCUCUGUUCCUAUACCAGCAAUUGCUGAACGUCCCUGGAGAAGGAAAGCUCAGAGUUUCUGGUGCUGGGGAAGAAAUGCUUCAAGAAAAAGAAAAAUAAUCGCAGCUGCAAUGUUAAAAAUAAGAAGCUAAUCAAAGGCAGCCCAUGUGGGCGCCACUUUCAUCUCUCAUCUUCAAAGAGGUGCAAACAAACAUUGUCGGCGUGCCAAGCAGCAGCCUCAGUGCCUGAUGAUCCCAUUACUCCUCCAGCGUCCACCCUCCCUUUCCAUGCUGCUGAGCCUGUAGGCAUGGGACUCCAGGAUCACUGCCAAGACACACUGGACUGCAGUUCUGCCAUGCUCUGAAAAUUUGCUGUACUGCACUCUAGAUGUGGUGCCUUUCACAGACAGGGAAAAGAGACUUCACCAAGUGAAGGGAGGCCAUCUAAUUCACACUGUCUUCACCUGAGACCACCUCCAAAACAAAGAGCCUGACUUCUCUCCUGCCUUUGCACACUGGAAUGGACCUUGAAGCCGGUGACUUCUCAAUGCAAGGUACUAGCUUUUGUUCUGUGACCAAACUGUUCUGAAGCAGGACUGGAGUGCGUGAUUUUGGCAUUCCAGAGCCUUCAUUCCAGUUCUUGGGAAAUCUCUAGCCCAUGAAGUUUGAAAGAGCAGCAGGAAAUCAGUGGCCUGGGUGGUGAAUGCGUGGUGGGAUGUUGGUUUGGCUUGGGCUGGGUUUGCCCCUGCCCAGCUCUGCACAGACUCCCAGCUGACACAGCAGAGCUCUGGUUCCAGCAGCUCUUGCUCUUUACCUUCUUCCCAACGAGCUGCUGUGCAGUGUUAACGGCUGGCUGAGCUGUACACACGGGAGUCCCCUGGGUGAGCAUUGUGUGGGACAGUUUCUGAUUGACUUGAUUCAUAAAAGGACUUUGAGGAUGUCUGUGGUCACGGUGGGUAACUCAGAGAGGUUGUGAGGGGGUGGGACUGUUUCUAAAAGCUGUUUUACUUUCUUCUCUGCUCGGCUACUGUCACAGCUUCUCUGCAAAGAAAGGUAUGACACAAAAUUGGGAUAAUACGUUUCUUCUCAAUGGGUUGGGGAUGUGGGAGGUACCUGGUGGCACUGCCAUGGU